rnacentral:misc_RNA from 1 species
UGAAUUGCUUCCAUCACUUUGUCUCUUUUCUCUUGAAACGACUUCUCAUAUUUCUCUAAUUUUCGUAAUAGCAAUUCUUCCUGUCUUCUUAAUCCUCUUUUGACAACUUCCAUAAUCUUAUCAAGUAAUUGCUAUUUCCAAGGAUGGUCUUCCAUGGUCAUCUUGUUGAAGGCUAGGUAGGAUGUAGGAAAAUUUUGUUUCUUAAAGAAGAGAAAAUUUUUAUUGGGAUAGGGGAAGAAAAGGAAGAAAAGUUGAGGCUGAAAUAAGGAUUUCAAUAAUUUCAAGAAAGAAUGGAGGAAAGAAACCCUAACAGGGUAGAAAUUGGAGAUAGAGAGGUUGAGAAGAAUUUGAUAUUGGGAAAAGGAAUAAGGCAGCUUGGAAGAGAGAAAAAUGAGGGAGAGGAAGAAAGAAAGAAAAAAUUUCAAGAAUUUCAAGAAAUAGGUUCUUGAAAUGCACAAAGUGAAAAAUUAAGAAGAAAAAAAAUUAAAGAAAGAACCAAAAAUUAACAGAAGAAUAAAGAAAUUUGAUUCAAGAAUUUCAAG